UGUUUGAAGGCUGGAUGUAUUGGCAGGUUAUGGAUUCUUUGGAUGAUGCGGGCAAAAUCUGGGAGGAAGAGCUUGGAUGCUGUGAAGCUCGGGAAGAUGAAGCCGAAUCGUGAACAACGCGGAAUGAAGUUAAUCUGGAAUGAGAGGAAAUCUUGGGAGUUCGGAAGAAGAAAAGAUGACCCGUGAGCUGGUGUGUUCUGUUUCCGAGAAGUCCGGGAAGAAGAAUCAGAAGCCAUGAAGUUGGGAUUUGAGGUUGAGCUGGGAGCGAAAGGAGUUGCUUUGAUUCGUGAUGACGAGGAGAUGGUUUAGGAUGCGGGAGAUCGCUUCCGGCUGAGAUGCGGCUGGGAGGAAGUUGUUCCGAAACAGGGAAAGAUGAAUCUGAUGAUGUUAGGAAUGAAUGGAAUCUAGGACGGCUGGAAGGAAAUCCGGAAUAAUGUUGGAUUCAGCUCUAUCUUGGGAGGAUAAGCUCGGGAAGCAUAGAAGCAGGGGAUAAGCUGGAGCUUUGAAUGUNNNNNNNNNNNNNNNNNNNNNNNNNNNNNNNNNNNNNNCGUGGAAGAAGUUGGGGAUCCGGUCGUGAAAGAAGGAAAUGUGGCGGACGGCUGGGAAGUCAUUGUUUGUUCAUGGGAUAUGGGAGAUCACAAGCGGUCCAUAUCCAUUCAGCUGGGAAGAAAUCUAGAACAACUUUGUUCUUUGGACAUGGGAGUUUGGUCACGGUUGGCUAUGAUGUGCAGGAAGAAUAGAAUCGUGAGACAUGGCGGUCGGCUGGGAAGUCUUGGGAGGCAUCUCGGAAUAUCCGGACACGGGAGGAUAUGGCUCACGAACGGGAUGCACGGAGACUCGUGAAAGGAAUUUG
rnacentral:lncRNA from 1 species